UGGACAUUUGCCUCUCUCUCUCUCUGGU
rnacentral:piRNA from 1 species